rnacentral:rRNA from 1 species
CAAUAGCGUAUAUUAAAGUUGUUGCAGUUAAAAAGCUCGUAGUUGGAUUUCGGGGUGGCCUGCCUGGUCCACCGCAAGGUGAGUACUGGUCAGCCGCCCUUCCUCUCGAAAGCCCCGACUGCUCUUCAUUGCAGUGGUCGGGUAGUUCGGGACGUUUACUUUGAAAAAAUUAGAGUGUUCAAGGCAGGCCGUCGCCUGAAUACAUUAGCAUGGAAUAAUGGAAGAGGACCUCGGUCCUAUUUUGUUGGUUUCUAGGGCCGAAGUAAUGAUUAAGAGGGACAGUUGGGGGCAUUCAUAUUUAAUUGUCAGAGGUGAAAUUCUUGGAUUUAUGAAAGACGAACUAGUGCGAAAGCAUUUGCCAAGGAUGUUUUCAUUAA